rnacentral:rRNA from 1 species
UACGUAGGGUGCAAGCGUUGUCCGGAAUUAUUGGGCGUAAAGAGCUCGUAGGCGGUCUGUUACGUCUGCUGUGAAAACCCGGGGCUUAACCCUGGGCUUGCAGUGGAUACGGGCAGACUAGAGGCAGGUAGGGGAGAAUGGAAUUCCCGGUGUAGCGGUGAAAUGCGCAGAUAUCGGGAGGAACACCGGUGGCGAAGGCGGUUCUCUGGGACGGUACUGACGCUGAGACGCGAAAGCGUGGGGAGCGAACAGG